rnacentral:rRNA from 1 species
GACGAACGCUGGCGGCGUGCCUAAUACAUGCAAGUCGAGCUAAGCGGCGGAUGGGUGAUUAACGCUUGUGUAACCUGCCCUUAAGUCUGGGAUACCAUUUUGUAACAGAUGCUACUACCGGAUACUACAGGAUGGACCUGCGAUGCAUUAGCUAGUUGGUAAGGUAACGGCUUACCAAGGCGAUGAUGCAUAGCCGAGUUGAGAGGCUGAUCGGCCACAGUGGGACUGAGACACGGCCCAAACUCCUACGGGAGGAAGCAGUAGUGAAGUGUCCACAAUGGACGAAAGUCUGAUGGAGCAACGACGCGUGAGUGAAGAAGGUUUUCGGAUCGUAAAGCUCUGUUGUUGGUGAAGCGGUAAUCAACCAGAAAGUCACGGAUAACUACGUGCCAGCAGCCGCGGUAAUUC